AACAAGUAUCGGACGGCAGCGAGUUCCUCCUGCAGGCCAAGGACGAGGAGGAGCUCCGCUCGUGGCUCCGCGCUAUUUCCGCUUCCGUCCAGGAACACGCGGACAUCGCCCGCGCGGCCGCCCCCCCCCCUGCCACCACUUCCUCCACCGACGAGGGGGCGGAGCGACGCACGGCGCGCAGGAAGUGACGUCACACCGCCCCAUUGCGUCACCGCCGUGACGUCACCACUCUUUCGGGGGGGGGGAGCACUUCACAUAAGCCAUAGAGAGAGCUGGGGGGGGAUGGGGGGAGGUAAUUAUUUAUUUAUGUAUUUAUUUAUUUAUGUAUUUAUUUAUUUUGGGGGAAAUUGUAAAGAUUUGAGGGCGAUGAACCAAAAAAUAUCCUAUAGAAAUCUAUAUUCUCUAUAUAAUAUAUAUGGACACCCCCCCCCCCCCGGCGCUGGGAGGUUUGUACAGAUGGAAUAAAGUGCCCAGACACCGACCCCACAAAAAGGAGCAGGCGGGACUUGUGUCACGGAACGGCCAAUCAGAAGCAGCGACAAACGAAAGCGGAAGUGCUCCUCCCGAAGCCGGAAGCCGGAAGCGCCGCGGCCGCAGCGGCGGCCAUGGAGGCGGCCAUGAUGGGGGGGGCGGAGGUGGUGGAGCUGAACGUGGGCGGCA